rnacentral:misc_RNA from 1 species
CCUAAGCAUCAAUUUUCCGUGACAGGACGCCUUAGUCGCUUCAGUAACAUCAUAACUCCACCUGAUUUUAGGCAGAGGAGGAUGUAAUCGGAGCUGAGAGAAUCAAAGUCGAGAUUAGAUAGAGAAUUGGUGGGACCGGAUGGAGUUCGGGGCUCCUUGGUCAAAACAGAAAAUAAAAGAAACUCUAAGAGCUUCCGGCGAUCUCGGCGGUAACGCUGCAAAAGAGCUACAGCUCGAGAGAGAGAGAAAGAGAGAGAGACGGGGGUUUUCAACGAGGUUUUAGAAGAUUUGUCUCAUGUAUUUGUUGCAAACUCUGAGUAGAGAUUAAAUUCACAAAUGGCUUUUACUGACGGACGGGAGGAGAUGACCGAACGGUACCCUAUAUUCCCGGUUUGC